UGUGAUCAUAUUUGAAAUCCAAGAUGGCCGCCGCACAAAAUUAUGAUUUCAGCAAUAUGGAUGUCGUGUCCGAGGUUCUCGAGGGUGCAGAGAACGAUUAUGUGAUCAUAUUUGAAAUCCAAGAUGGCCGCCGCACAAAAUUAUGAUUUCAGCAAUAUGGAUAUCGUGUCCGAGGUUCUCGAGGGUGCAGAGAACGAUUCUGUGAUCAGUUUUGAAUUCAAAGAUGGCCGCCGCUCAUAAUUAUGAUUUCAGCAACAUGGAUAUCGUGUCCGAGGUUCUCGAGGGUGCAGAGAACGAUUUUGUGAUCAUUUUUGAAAUCCAAGAUGGCCGCCGCACAAAAUUAUGAUUUCAGCAAUAUGGAUAUCGUGUCCGAGGUUCUCGAGGGUGCAGAGAACGAUUGUGUGAUCAUAUUUGAAAUCCAAGAUGGCCGCCGCACAAAAUUAUGAUUUCAGCAAUAUGGAUAUCGUGUCCGAGGUUCUCGAGGGUGCAGAGAACGAUUCUGUGAUCAUUUUUGAAUUCAAAGAUGGCCGCCGCUCAUAAUUAUGAUUUCAGCAAUAUGGAUAUCGUGUCCGAGGUUCUCGAGGGUGCAGAGAACGAUUGUGUGAUCAUAUUUGAAAUCCAAGAUGGCCGCCGCA